CGCUCGAGAGACGGAAGCUUAAGUGGAUUGCCUGGGCUGCGUACAAGGAGCGGGUGAUACGGUUUAAUUCGAAGCAACGCGAAGAACCUUACCUAAGCUUGACAUCCCAAUGACAUCUCCUUAAUCGGAGAGUUCCCUGCGGGGACAUUGGUGACAGGUGGUGCAUGGUUGUCGUCAGCUCGUGUCGUGAGAUGUUGGGUUAAGUCCCGCAACGAGCGCAACCCUUGUCUUUAGUUGCCAUCAUUAAGUUGGGCACUCUAGAGAGACUGCCAGGGAUAACCUGGAGGAAGGUGGGGAUGACGUCAAAUCAUCAUGCCCCUUAUGCUUAGGGCUACACACGUGCUACAAUGGGUAGUACAGAGGGUUGCCAAGCCGUAAGGCGGAGCUAAUCCCUUAAAGCUACUCUCAGUUCGGAUUGUAGGCUGAAACUCGCCUACAUGAAGCUGGAGUUACUAGUAAUCGCAGAUCAGAAUGCUGCGGUGAAUGCGUUCCCGGGUCUUGUACACACCGCCCGUCACACCACGGGAGUUGGAG
rnacentral:rRNA from 1 species